rnacentral:rRNA from 1 species
CCUACGGGAGGCAGCAGUGAGGAAUAUUGGUCAAUGGACGAGAGUCUGAACCAGCCAAGUAGCGUGAAGGAUGACUGCCCUAUGGGUUGUAAACUUCUUUUAUAUGGGAAUAAAACGUUCCACGUGUGGGAUUUUGUAUGUACCAUAUGAAUAAGGAUCGGCUAACUCCGUGCCAGCAGCCGCGGUAAUACGGAGGAUCCGAGCGUUAUCCGGAUUUAUUGGGUUUAAAGGGAGCGUAGGUGGAUUGUUAAGUCAGUUGUGAAAGUUUGCGGCUCAACCGUAAAAUUGCAGUUGAAACUGGCAGUCUUGUGGACAGUAGAGGUGGGCGGAAUUCGUGGUGUAGCGGUGAAAUGCUUAGAUAUCACGAAGAACUCCGAUUGCGAAGGCAGUUCACUGGACUGCAACUGACACUGAGGCUCGAAAGUGUGGGUAUCAAACAGGAUUAGAUACCCUUGUAGUC